AAAGCAGAUCGCCUUAUCGCACAGACUACAACGUUUGUGAGGAAAGUCCGAACACCAAAGUGCAGCAUAGUGGUUAACGGCCACCGGCCGCGAGGUCAGGAAAAGUGCAACAGAAAGUAUGUACAGGUAAUGCUGUAGUGAAACCAGGUAAACUCUAUGCGGUGCAAUGCCAUGUAAACCAACGCUUAGGGUUGCACGCCCAAUGUUGGAGGGUAGGCAGCUAAAGGUUGCUGGUAACAGUAAUCUCAGAUAAAUGAUAAGGGUUGAAGCAUUUAUGUUUCGAUACAGAAUUCGGCUUAUAGAUCUGCUUUUUUU
rnacentral:RNase_P_RNA from 2 species